rnacentral:rRNA from 1 species
UUACGGGAGGCAGCAGUGGGGAAUCUUGCACAAUGGGGGAAACCCUGAUGCAGCGACGCCGCGUGAGCGAUGAAGCCCUUCGGGGUGUAAAGCUCUUUCGGCAGGGACGAUAAUGACGGUACCUGCAGAAGCAGCUGCGGCUAACUACGUGCCAGCAGCCGCGGUAAUACGUAGGCAGCGAGCGUUGUUCGGAGUUACUGGGCGUAAAGGGUGUGUAGGCGGUCCUUUAAGUUUGGUGUGAAAUCUCCCGGCUUAACUGGGAGGGUGCGCCGAAUACUGAGGGGCUAGAGUGCGGGAGAGGAUAGUGGAAUUCCUGGUGUAGCGGUGAAAUGCGUAGAUAUCAGGAGGAACACCGGUGGUGUAGACGGCUAUCUGGACCGUGACUGACGCUGAGACACGAAAGCGUGGGUAGCAAACAGGAUUAGAUACCCCGGUAGUCCG